CUUAAGCAUAAAAUAAGAAAUUCCUAGAAAUAAGGAAAGUUACUAGAGUCCUAACUAGAAAAGGAAAACACUUAAAAUAGGAAAUAUUUAGAAAUAACUUGUAAGCUAGAAUAGAUUAGGUAUUGUAACCGUCUCCUGCAUCAGUCUCCUCCACCUCCAAAGAACUCGUCCCCGAGUUCUUAUCUGGAUAAAGAACACCAUCGGCAUGAUACUCAUAGAUGUCCGCUACGUUGAACGUAUGAGAAAUGCUCAUAUCGUCUGGUAGAUCCACCACAAAAGCAUUGUCAUUAAGCUUUUUCAAAAUCUUGAAUGGACCAUACUUGCGAGGCUGAAGCUUGCGAUAAGUACCAACUGGAAACCUUUCUUUCUUGAGAAACACCAUUACUUCAUCACCUUCUUUGAAAACCUUGAGCCUCCGUUUCUUAUCUGCUGCCCUUUUGUUCUUUUGCCCAGUUGCUUCCAAUCUAGCUCGGACUGCUUCUUUAGUGUCCAAAAUGUCUUUAGCCAUAGCCUCAGCUGAUGCACUAACUCCAGGAGCUUGCGGUAGGGGAACUAAAUCAACCACAUGCUUCGGGACAGAGGUAUAUACCAACGUAAAUGGUGAUUUCCCUGUUGCGGAAUGUACGGCACUAUUGUAAGCGAACUCGACCUGCGGUAGGGCUAAAUCCCACUGCUUCGGUUUAUCACCACAAACACUUCUGAUCAUGUUACCCAGCGUCCUGUUUGUUACCUCGGUUUGCCCAUCACUCUGGGGAUGAGCUGUAGAGCUUCGUUUUAAACUUGUUCCAAACAUCCUCCAUAAUGUAAUCCAGAAGUGACUGAGAAACUUAGUAUCCCUGUCGGAAACUAUUGACUUCGGAACCCCAUGGAGACGCACAACUUCUCGAAAGAACAAUUUGGCUAUGUUGGUUGCAUCUGCGGUCUUUCUACAAGCAAUGAAGUGUGUCAUUUUGGAAAACCUGUCAACAACAACAAACACAGAAUCCACACCUCGCUGCGUCCUCGGCAACCCCAACACAAAAUCCAUAGAUAGGUCCUGCCAGAUAUCGUCAGGAACAGAUAACGGCAUGUAAAGACCUGUGUUCUGAGAUUGUCCCUUAGAAACCUGACAAACAAAACACCUCCGAACAAUAGUUCCAGCGUCUUUCCUAAGAUGCGGCCAAUAGUACCUUUCCUCCAAGCUUGCAAUUGUCUUAUCCCGUCCCAAAUGACCACUAAGACCACCACCGUGCAAUUCUCGGAUCAGCUUCUCUCGUAACGACGAGCAAGGAAUGCACAGUCUGUCUCCUUUAAAUAAAUAGCCUUCGCGAAUAUGGAAGUCUGCAGAAGGAUGCUUACCGUUGCACUUGUCCCAUAAUUCCUUGAAUUCAGCAUCAGUUUCAUAUAACUCUUUCAAAAAUUUGAAUCCCACAAUCUCAUGUGCUAAGGUAGUUAGCAAGGAAGCCCUUCUACUCAAAGCAUCAGCUACCUUGUUAAGAGCUCCGGACUUAUGCUGAAUAAUGAAAGGAAAUUUUUGCAGAAAACUUACCCAACGAGCAUGCAUCUUAUUUAUCACUUUCUGGCUGUGAAGAAACUUCAGAGCUUGGUGGUCAGUGAACAGAAUAAACUCUCGCUGAAUCAGAUAAUGCUCCCAUUGUCGAAGAGCUCGAAAUACCGCAUAGAACUCUUGAUCAUAAGUACUCCAUUUCCGUCGUGCUUCGCUUAGUUUUUCACUAAAGAAAGCUACUGGUCUUUUUUCCUGAGAUAACACAGCACCAAUUCCUACACCACUAGCAUCGCAUUCCACUUGGAAUAUCUUAUCAAAAUCCGGCAAUGCUAACACAGGAGCAGUACAAAGCUUCUCCUUAAUCAAUGCAAAACUCUCGUCUUGUUCUGGUCCCCAGUGAAACUUCCCUUUCUUCAAGCAUUCGGUAAUAGGCGCAGUAAUAGUACUGAAGUCUCUUACAAAUCUUCUGUAGAAAGUAGCCAAACCAUGAAAGCUGCGUACCUCAGUUGCGGUUUUGGGAACGGGCCAGUCUUUUAUUGCACGCACUUUGGCGUCAUCUACUUGAAUCCCAUCCUUACCAACGACAAACCCCAAAAACAGCAACUUGUUUGUGCAGAAUGUGCAUUUCUUUAAAUUCACGUACAACUGAUUUUCUUGGAGGACUUGCAACACCUGCCUUAUAUGCUCCAAAUGGUCGUCCUUGGCUUUACUAUAGAUCAAAAUGUCAUCGAAGUAUACUACCACAAAGGACCCAAUGAAAGGACGGAGAACCUGAUUCAUCAAUCUCAUGAAAGUACUAGGUGCGUUUGACAAGCCGAAAGGCAUCACUAACCACUCGUACAAUCCGUCUUUACUCUUAAAAGCAGUCUUCCAUUCAUCUCCAGGCCUGAUUCGAAUCUGAUGGUACCCACUUCGAAGAUCUAUUUUUGAAAACACCUUUGAUCCAUUCAACUCAUCAAGCAUGUCUUCCAACCGAGGGAUAGGAAACCGGUAUUUAAUUGUGAUCUUGUUGAUGGCUCUAGAAUCAACGCACAUUCGCCACUGAUUACCCUUCUUCGGAACGAGAAGAACUGGUACAGCACAAGGGCUCAUGCUCUCGCGGAUUAACCCUUUCUUCAGCAAAUCUUCGAUCUGUGUCCUUACAAUUUCAUUCUCUUUAGGGCUCAUUCGAUAGUGGGGAAGAUUAGGUAGACUAGAACUUGGGAUCAGGUCAAUGUGAUGCUGUAUAUCACGCAUAGGAGGCAGGUUGUCAGGUAGUUCCUCAGCAACUAACUCCUUGUAAUCUUCCAAAAUUUCUAACACCUCACGUGGAGUUGUUGUCUCUUCCGUCACGGCACUCAUCAACCCCUUGACCACAACCGGAUAAAAAUACUGUGAUUCCUUAAUAGCCUUGUCAAGUUCUUUAUCAUCAUGCGACAUGACUAGGAAGCUUGACUUCUUCUCUUUUGCAAUGCUACUAAAAUCCUUGACAGGAGCCAUUGCAAUCUUAUGAUUCCCCCAUGUAAACAUGAUCACAUUGUCUCGUCCUCGGUACGUAAUGUCGUUAUCGUACUGCCAUGGUCGCCCAAGGAGAAUAUGACAAACAUCCAUAUCCAAAACGUCACAGAUUAUCUCCUCUUUGUAAUGCUUACCAAUUGAUAAAGGAAUUUUGCAAGUUUCACUAACUCCUACUUUAGAUCCUUUCUUCACCCAUCCGAGACCAUACGGCUUCUCAUGACGAGUCGUGGGUAUUUUCAAAUAUUCCACCAGCUUUUGAGAAACUAAAUUCUCGGAGCUCCCAUUGUCAACAAUCAUAUUGCACACCUUGUUCUGAAUAGAACAAUGCGUUCUAAACAGAUUCUUGCGUUGUCCCUCUUCUUUGGAUGAUAGCAACAGUCGCUGUAAAACAAUGCUGAUUCGGUCCUCAGAUUCCUCUUCCGCAAAUUCCACUCCCUCAUACUCCUCAUUCUCCAUAAAGUCGUCUUCCUCUUCUUCUAGCAAUGCAACCGUCUUCCUACUGGGACAAACAUUCGACUUGUGACCUGUUCCUUGACAACGGAAACACUUGUCGAGGGUUGGCCUAGCAUAAGGAGUGUUCUGUUUCGGAGCGGUUGCUUUGUCCUUCUGAAUGCCGCUAGUGGAACUACUUGUUCCUUUGUUGUUAGGGUUGGAAUCUCUGUUAAUCACGCCUUUGUCCUUCUCUCCGGCUGGUUCGACGUUGCUGUGAACCGAGGGUCUCCUGAAAUUUGUGAAACCCCGCGAUGAUUUCUCCAUCAAUUCCGCUUUCAAGGCUAGACUGGAUGCUUCUUGAACUGUCCACACAGUCUGUAACCCUAUUUUCCCUUGAAGAGAGCCCUUUAAACCACUGAUGUAUCUAGCCACCUUCUGGUUCUCUGUUUCGUUUAAGUCACUACGUUCAGAGAAACGUAAGAACUCUGCUGUAUAAUCAGUCACGGUCCUGCUUCCUUGUACACAAUCAAUGUACAUCUUGUAAAGAAUCUGCUCGUAGUCCUCCGGUAAGAACCGCUCAGUCAUUAGCUGUUUCAUUCGGCGCCAUGUUCUAACUGGACCCUUCCUCUGUCUUUGCCUUUGAAUAGCCAAUUUAUCCCACCAAACAGCAGCAGUCUUCUUUAACCGGAUAGCCACCAUCUUGACCUGUUUACUCUCCGGGACUUCCAUAACAUCAAAGAACCGAUCAACAUCAAUUUGCCAAUCAAGAAAUUCCUCUACACUCAUAGUCCCAUAGAACAAUGGAAUAUCAGCUUUCACUCGGUAAUCCUGAUUAUUUUGAUUCCCUUGUUCUUCCACUUCCUCUUCCAAUUCCUCCUCAGAGCUGGAAUCAUCAACAGCGACAUGGUUAUGUCUGCCUUGUUGUCGAUUGUGUCUGCCUUGUUGAUUCUGAUUUCGUCCCAUUCCUUCUCCUCCUCCUUGUCCUGCGUUAGCAAUCUGAUUGGUUAAUGCUGCAAUCUGAUUAGUUAACGCUGCCACCAGAUUUGCCAGGUUCGUGGUUGAGUCUUUCAAACUCGCUGUGAAACCCUCCAUGUCGGCCUUGGUUACUGGUUGAUCACCCAUAGCUGUUCAAGCUUCGAAAAGAGUAGGAGAUUGCCUGCUCUGAUACCACUUGACGCAGUCGGAUGCACUAAGACAACAAACGUUAGUCUUAGAAUUGAAGGUUCAAGUUCGCGGGUGUCAAACUUGAGGAAAAAGCUCUGGAAUCCACCAGAAAAAGGUAAAGCUCGAAAACUCGAAGACUUUGAUUAAUAAUAAUGGUAAAAAUUCCCUUCAAACAUAGCACCUAAGGUUCUUUAUAUAGAGAAAACCUUAAGCAUAAAAUAAGAAAUUCCUAGAAAUAAGGAAAGUUACUAGAGUCCUAACUAGAAAAGGAAAACACUUAAAAUAGGAAAUAUUUAGAAAUAACUUGUAAGCUAGAAUAGAUUAGGUAUUGUAACCGUCUCCUGCAUCAGAGUGUUCCACAAGGAGCACCGUAAGAAGGUCGACACAUACUACACAAUCAUCACUUGAAAGUUUUGAGGCCUUUCACUUAUGACAUGCAAAGAUAAGAAAGAAAACGAAGAAAAAUGCAGCAGAGCAAAGGGUAAGUACCUUGCCAUGGCAAGAGCAGAUCACAGAGAAAGUACCAGAAGAUAUCAAAGUCACAUGGGAUAGAAAGAAUGAAAAAGCAAGACCUUUUGGGUUUGUUAGGGUCUCGUUCUUCUUCUUGUUUUUUGUUGUCA
rnacentral:lncRNA from 1 species